rnacentral:tRNA from 1 species
GGGCUCGUGGCGAAUCGGUAUCGCGCCCCUUUGGCUGAGGGGAGGCAUCGGGUUCAAUUCCCGACGAGUCCA